rnacentral:misc_RNA from 1 species
UGGCCCCUUAGCUCAGUUGGU